rnacentral:rRNA from 1 species
UACGUAGGGGGCGAGCGUUGUCCGGAAUCAUUGGGCGUAAAGAGCGUGUAGGCGGACCUGAAGGUCUGGUGUGAAAGCCCGGGGCUCAACCCCGGAGGGUCACUGGAAACCGCAGGUCUUGAGUCCGGGAGAGGUGAGUGGAACUGCGAGUGUAGAGGUGAAAUUCGUAGAUAUUCGCAAGAACACCAGUGGCGAAGGCGGCUCACUGGCCCGGUACUGACGCUGAGGCACGAAAGCGUGGGGAGCAAACAGG